AUUGAACGCUGGCGGCAGGCCUAACACAUGCAAGUCGAACGAGUGGCGGACGGGUGAGUAAUGUCUGGGAAACUGCCUGAUGGAGGGGGAUAACUACUGGAAACGGUAGCUAAUACCGAAUACCUUCAGAUGUUCCCAGAUGGGAUUAGCUGGUUGGUGGGGUAACGUCUCACAAAGGCGACGAUCCCUAGCUGGUCUGAGAGGAUGACCAGCCAAACUGGAACUGAGACACGGUCCAGACCCCUACGGGAGGCAGCAGUGGGGAAUAUUGAACAAUGGGCUAAAGCCUGAUGCAGCCAUGCCGCGUGUAUGAAGAAGGCAUUCGGGUUGUAAAGUACUUUCAGCGGGGAGGCGUUACCCGCAGAAGAAGCACCGGCUAACUCCGUGCCAGCAGCCGCGGUAAUUC
rnacentral:rRNA from 1 species